UCUUUCUUCAAACAUAUCUUCCUUCUACUUUCCCUCACUUUAUUAUCUUCUCUGUUAUCAUAUUCUCUCUGCAAAAUUCUAUUCCUAUAAAUAGGUCCUCCUCCAUUGUUGCAAAUUAGUCCUUCUUCAGUGUUUCUUGGUGAGCUCUCUUUCAUUUAAGAUUUUUUUUCCUUUUUCUUAUCAAGUCUUUUUUCUUUCCAAAAUUUGAUGGGUUUCUUUGUCGAGAUGGUUAGAACGAGUAAUUCUACAUAGAGUCUUCUUUCUUUUUCUGUGUUGAUAAUUUAGUUUAAAGGUAUUUUUCUCAUUGAUUUGAAAAAAUAUCUUAUCGGUUGUUUGCAUAUCAUUUUUCACUUCUUCUUACCGUUUGAUAUUUCUUGAACAUUAUAUAUGUCAGGAGACUCAGGACUACGAUAUGACCAUUCAAAGUUACCGCAUGUGAGUGUUUUGUCAUUUUUUGCUCAUAUUAUAAUUGAAUGUUGUUGAAUAUUGAACGCUCCAAAUAAACCUUGAAUGCUAGCAUAGCCGGGAAAUGUUUCCUCACAAUUGUUGCUUAGCUCCUGUGCGGCUUACGGUAGUUUAGAUUGGUAUGUUAACUGGUGCUUAAUAGGAAUCUUCAAUUCUAUUCUUGCAUUAAUUUAUAUUCAUAAAUUUUUGGGUGUUUCCUUGUCUAUGUAAUAUCAGCGUGUUUGCUCUCUUUCCUUUAUUUAAUUAAGUUAACAUCUACUAUUUUAAGGAAUUUUGCUUAAAUAAGAAAAAAUCUGGACUCUUUUUUUUUUUUUUUGAAUCUGCAAAAUCUGGAGUCUUGAUUUAAUUUUGGUUAAUCUGACGUUCUUGCAAAUGUUUUGUUAAUGUAUUUGACCAAUGUAGGGUUAUCAUUCAAUUUUGUCUUUGUUUUUCUAAAUACUUAGACUGCUUUUUGGGGAAUAAUUCAUUGCAGUUUUGAAAUUAUGAAGCUUUGUUCCAAAGGGUUUCCUUUAUUCAGACUAAUUCAAGAUAUUUACUCAAACUAAUCAACCCGAGAUAGUCCAAUUUAGGGUUGCAGGAUAUUCCUGGAGAACUUUAUUUAUCAUUAUGAAUUUUCAUAGUUAUCAACUAAUAAUGGAAAAGGUUAUCAACUAAUAAGGGGAAAGGACUGGACAUGAUUCCAUGGUUAAUAGGGAGUGUACAUGUCUGUCAUUUUCUAUUCCCUAAAUUUUGCCUUGUUCCUUUCUUUAACUUAUUGCUCCACUUCUCCCUGUCUUUCAUGUGCAGCUUAUGGAAAUAAACCAUACAUAUUUGUGUGAACAUCGAUCCUAAUUCACAGGUACAAUUGUGUAUCGCCCCAUCUUUAGACUAGAAAAAGAGCUUGAUUGGCUAGAUUUCUGCUAAAGUGUUGCAGAGGCUAAUGACAUUCUAAAAAACAUGGACCAACUUUUUAAAGGAAUCACUAUAUUUAUCUAUUCAACUAAUAAUGUGGAAAUAAAUUCCUAUUAAAGUUGUUUAAGUGAGUUAAUUUAAGGCUUUAGAUUUCCUAAACUGUUAGGAGAAGUAGAUGUUUAUGAGACUUUAGAGGUUAAUGAAUAUUAGUUGGCUAUUUGAGUUGACUCGCUUUAUAUAUCCUUGAAAUUCUAGACUCUAGACAUGCCCUAUUGUAACUUUAUUUUUAUGUCACGAGCUGUUUUCAAGACUAUGUCAAGGAGCACAUUCCACUGGUUCCAUCUACUGUAGCAACCAUAUUGAGAAUGCAGUAGCAUGAUUGCUUUGUCAGGGUAAGUAUUAUGUUUUGCCCUGUCUCAUUCAUUUUUCUUAUACAUAUCGACCAGGCAUGGUUUCACUAUUUGAACUUCAAGUGAAAUUGAGAUACUGCUUUGAAUAUUUAUUUCAAGUAAGAACUAAUAUUUAUGAAUGUGCGUGCUUUCCUCUGAUUCGGUUUUUUCCCUGGUCUUCCUGAGACUGUUUUUAGAAAACUGGAUCCUAAACCUUCUCUUUCUCACCUAGCAAAUUAGGAGACAUUGAUGAAUAAUGAGAAUGUAUUUUCAUGAUUCUGGAGGUCCUUAUUUGAUGUCAAUAAAGAAAUUUCUACAUUUACUCAUGAUGACGAUUAAUUGAUUAAUUCUUACUAUAAAGAAUCAAAUAAGGAAUUAAAGAAAAAUUUAAAAGACCGAAUUUCGGUAAAUUCAUGAACUCCGUUAGAUUAUUCUUAGCUUUAUCUCAAAAAGAAAGGUGGUGUUCUGAGAGAAGUGGAGUAAGUACCUCCUACUUUUAUAGAUUUGGGCGAGUUUGUAGAUGAGAAUUGUAGUUGGAGUUAGGUUGGAGAGAACUGUAACUCUGUGGUAUCCAGUAUCACUAUAGAAAUUAAUUUAGAAGUGACAUUGUUCUUUGUUGCUUUAGAAAGUAAUAGGAGACUGAUAAAAUUCUUAAUUUGAUCCAUUUCAAAGCUCGCAUCUUUUAAGCAAAAGAGAAUGUCUGCAGCUGCUUAUUUAAGCAACAUGUCCUUACAUUUCUUGGAAGAAACACUCAAAAUAAUUGAGAGAAUUCAUAGGGUAACUUUUGACUGUUGUCUUUCCUAUAUGAGUUAGUAAUUGAAGCUAUUCAUGGAUUAUUGUUCCUAAACUAUCUCUAAAGAAAUCCUAUGAUCCAAUUUAUUCCUUUCUAUAUUUUGAAUUUUAUACGGCUAAUUUUAGCAUCAAGAUACAGAAUUAAUUAAAGCUCCAGUAAGGGGACAUAUUUAGGAACCCACUAGCAGUUAGUACUAUGUACUCUGCUAAUUUUUGUUGUAGGUAUAUUAUUUGAAAAUUCGAUGUGUUUAAGAUUUACGAAUAUUUUAUUAGUAUAUGUAUGUGUUAUGUUGCAGGACAAGAUCUGAAACAGAUGGUUAACAAUUGUGAAUUGUUCCACUUCUCUUGUUUGCUCUGUUAUCCUCUAACAAAUUAGAGCAGAAUAAUAUUUUAUACCUUUCAUAUUGGUUCAUUGUUAUUUUUCCUUUUAUAAGGGAGUUUCUAUCUUCCCUUAAUUUUUUUUGAAGGUUGUUUACCUUGUAUUCAAUAUUUAUAUUGAGGUGUUAAUAAAAACUAAUUUAUUAAAUGUUUGUUGUGUUUACGGUUUUGAAUGUUUUUGGAGCACUUCUUUAAUAGACACACAAGGAUGAACAAGAAGACGAAAUCUAUAAUAAAUCUAUAUUAACAUAUUCAGAGCACUUCUUUUAUAACACUUGUUACACCCCAUAUUUUCGUAAGAGUAUGUCGUAAGUCAAUUGAUGUAUUCUCAGAAAUGAAAUCAUCUUUAAAAAGUUUAUAAAGUAAGUUAAUCAUGUUACCGUGGAGGUUAUAAAUACUUAAGAUCAUGAAUACCAAGUACCAAGAGGGUCAGAAGGCUUAGAAGUUAAGCGAAUUGAAGAAAAUAAAUUUCGUCGAAAGUCGACAAGUUGGAAUGUUAUAACAUGUACUUUUGGAGUGAGACUAGGGUGCUUAACAUUAUAAGGAGUUUAUGUUAUGAGUUAUUCUAGUCGUAUGAUAGUCGUGUAUAAUGUUUCGAAAUCAAGAGAGUUAUGGAACAAAAGUUGGCAAAGGUCAUCACAAGUUACAUUCAUAAAUGUGCUGAAAAUUAGGUCAAAUGUAGCUGCGUUUUUCUAUAAAUAUACUUGAAAUUACGGGAUGAUCUACCUACCAAGUUGAAGAUCUACGACUCUAGUUUCGAAUGGCUUUAACUGUUCCUCGAUACAAUAUCGAAGAAGAGAUAUCCGUAUUUUUGCGAGAUUAUGCAAGCAACUCUCAUUGGACCCACAAAGUCAGUGUAAAACUCCAGCUUGUAUUUAAGUCAAUACUAAAUCGUUUUAACUCAUUUUCCUCGUCCAAAACAAUUCCUAAACCCUCCUUAAUACUCUCCAAGUGUUCCUCCAUGAUUCUAGGGUGAAAACUUAAGAUAAAAACAUGAAUCCAACGCUAGAAAUCCGGUGGUGCUUGCUAGAUCGUAGUUCUUCAUCUUGUGGCUGUUUUGGAGGAUUCUUCAAAGUGAAGUAACCUCAGGUUUCGUGUUGUUCUUGUUGAUUAAGGUAAUAAUCAGUCUCUCCUUCAUAUAUAUUAGAUUUUUAAGGUGAACUACAAGUGUUUACACGCCAACUUGAACACCAAAUGUUGAUUCAAGAAGAGAAUACAAUACCUACAAUGUUGUGGUGUCAUUGAGGAUAGUUGUGGGCUGUACUUAGCUGAAAUUUCAUUUUGUUUCUACUGGUUAAGGUGAGUAUAACAUCCUACUAUAUUUUCUUGAAGUUGUUUGUGCGUUGGUUGCAUUAUUUGAGCAAAGUACUACAAAAGGAGACUUGAAAUAGUUUGAGAUGUUAUUGAUUUUAAUGGACUGUUUUGGAAAGGUUGUUUCCAUGAACUUUAAAUGGUUGGAAACCUUUGAAAAUGACUUUCUUAUGAUGUUGUUAUUAAUAUUAUCUACAUGUCGAACUUGUUGUUGGUAUUGUGAAUGAAUAUGAAGGGAAAGGACAAUAUAACAAUGAAAAGUUGUACUUGUUGUUGUUGUUAGAUUGUUGGGCUGUUUGAGGGUGAAUUGGGAGAUGAAUAGGAGGUUUGAAGUCCUCCCAUUGUACUUAAUAUCAUUAUGGCUAUGUUGUUAAGUUAAUGAAUAAAUGUCUUUGGGGUUAAAGGUUUAAAAAUGGAUUCAAUUCGAGCUUGCCGUUUGUCGUGUUAAAUAGUAGUUUCAUUGGUGAUAUUUAUGCACUUGUUGUUUUGUAGCUUGAUUUGUGUUGUGGUGCUGAAAGUAUAUAGGUGAAGGUUUUAUGGGUUCGUGUUGGUUGAUGGACUUGGGAAAGCAAGGAAAACAUGGGAGAUGCUGCCCGUUUUAAUAUAAAAUAAGCUUGUCGUUCGUUAUACGAUAGUUGCAUCUUUCGUAGCUUAACGAUAUCAUUAUUAUCGUUCAUGUAGAUUGAAGUGUGACAAGAGGAGUUCAACGUGGUUAUUGGACAGAUUGUGAUAAGGUAUAUUAAGACAGUUUCUUCUUUCUUUUGAUAUGAUCUAAAGUGAAAUUAACGUAGAUGAUAUGCUAUUUUAUAACGGAUCUACUCCUAGCAACUAAGGCUGUCCAUGUUUUUCUUUCCUUAUAAAGUUAUUCUAAGAAAGUAUGUGUGAUCCGUGAAUCCUAUUGAAGUUCAUAUUGAUGGUAUGAUGUCCAUAAUGUUAAUCGAAGGGGCAACGACCUUACGUCACUUUGGAAGGUUGAAAUUGUGAUUCAAUGAGUCCAGCAUGCAUUAUAUAUAUGUAUCUAUUUUACUCUAUGGAGUUGCGCUAUAGUCAGUCGGGUACGACACCUAUUGUGCAACCACUGAUCAUUUGGGUUUACCGAGCUCCACGUGACCAGGAAUGAUUCUACCGAGCCUUAUGAUGGUCGGUACAUUUUUACUGAGUCCUCUUCGAGGCCGGGUACGAUAUGAUGAUGACGAUGCCCACAAAGGCGUAUGUCAUUAAAGUUAUAUGUAUAUAUAUGUAUCAUGCAUUUCAUGCCAGUCGCCCUCAGAGGCACUCAUAUGUUAUCUCUAUCUCUCUUUACAUUACUAUUCUUAUCUAUGCUUUCUUAUCUUACUUACUCGGUACUUUAUUCGUACAGACGUCCUUUUUCUUGGGGAUGUUGCGUUUCAUGGCUGCAGGUCCCGAUAGAUAUAUUGGUAGUCCUCCUUGUAGGCUAUUAGCUCAAUGGAAGGUGUUGGUGCACUCCACUUGCUCCGGAGUUGCCUAUUUGAUCAGUAUGCUUAGGACAUAUAUUGACUGGUAUGGCGGGGCCCUGUCCUGGCCUUUAUGAUGUUUAUGUACUUUUAGAGCCUUGUAGACAUAUGUCAUAUAUAUGGAUGAUUGUAUGGCCUCGUCAGCCUAUGAUUUGAGUGUAUAAAUGAUCAUUUCGGUCUUAUAGACCUAUGUGUCACAUGUAUAAGUUAGUAUACAAUGUUU
rnacentral:lncRNA from 1 species